GAUGAACGCUGGCGGCGUGCCUAAUACAUGCCAGUCGAGCGAACAGACGAGGAGCUUGCUUCUCUGACGUUAGCGGCGGACGGGUGAGUAACACGUGGAUAACCUACCUAUAAGACUGGGAUAACUUCGGGAAACCGGAGCUAAUACCGGAUAAUAUAUUGAACCGCAUGGUUCAAUAGUGAAAGACGGUCUUGCUGUCACUUAUAGAUGGAUCCGCGCUGCAUUAGCUAGUUGGUAAGGUAACGGCUUACCAAGGCGACGAUGCGUAGCCGACCUGAGAGGGUGAUCGGCCACACUGGAACUGAGACACGGUCCAGACUCCUACGGGAGGCAGCAGUAGGGAAUCUUCCGCAAUGGGCGAAAGCCUGACGGAGCAACGCCGCGUGAGUGAUGAAGGUCUUCGGAUCGUAAAACUCUGUUAUUAGGGAAGAACAAAUGUGUAAGUAACUGUGCACGUCUUGACGGUACCUAAUCAGAAAGCCACGGCUAACUACGUG
rnacentral:rRNA from 1 species